UGUGGGCUGAUCAGCAUCAGGCAGGCAGGGGAAGCAAGAUGGUGCCACAGACUCUGUUCCUCAUGUCCCUGUUGCUCUGGGCCUCUGGUGCCAGUGGGGACAUUGUGCUGACCCAGUCUCCAGACUCUCUGGCUGUGUCUCCAGCAGAAAGGGUCACCAUCAACUGCAAGUCCAGUCAGAGUGUGAGCAGCUAUUUACACUGGUAUCAGCAGAAACCAGGACAGGCUCCUAAGCUGCUCAUCUACAAAGCAACUAACCGGGCAUCUGGGGUCCCUGACCGGUUCAGUGGCAGUGGGUCUGGGACAGACUUCACUCUCACCAUCAGCAGCCUCCAGGCUGAAGACGCCGCUGUUUAUUAUUGUCAGCAGGAUUAUAGCAAUCCUCCCACAGUGCUUCAGCCUCAAACAAAAACCUCCUCCCCAGGGCUACAGGCCGGUGAGUCUUACUACAACAGCUGCUUCCUUUUUGCUGAACCCUGAGCAUGUACACUUCUCUGUCUGUCCCAAAGUCUGCAUCUAUUUACUAAUUCCUAGGAGAAUUUGUAAGACCCAGGAGUAAAUUAAGGGAUGUGGCUUCUUCUGAAGCCUAUUUUGUGGUAAAGUGUAGAAGAAAAAUUUUGUACAAAUGUAAUAUAAUCUUUGUCAGGAAUUUUGAUAUUA